rnacentral:rRNA from 1 species
UACGUAGGUGGCGAGCGUUGUCCGGAUUUACUGGGCGUAAAGAGCUCGUAGGCGGUUCGUCGCGUCGGCUGUGAAAACCUGAGGCUCAACCUCAGGCCUGCAGUCGAUACGGGCGGACUUGAGUACUGCAGGGGAGACUGGAAUUCCUGGUGUAGCGGUGAAAUGCGCAGAUAUCAGGAGGAACACCGGUGGCGAAAGCGGGUCUCUGGGCAGUAACUGACGCUGAGGAGCGAAAGCGUGGGGAGCGAACAGG